CUGCAAAUAAUCACAAUGCAAGUCAAGUCACCUUUAUUUAUAUAGCGCUUUAUUCGAUACAGAUUGUGUCAACAAUGUACUGCAUUAUGCCAAUGUUUUGCA